GACGAACGCUGGCGGCGUGCUUAACACAUGCCAGUCGAACGGAAAGGCCCUGCUUUUGUGGGGUGCUCGAGUGGCGAACGGGUGAGUAACACGUGAGUAACCUGCCCUUGACUUUGGGAUAACUUCAGGAAACUGGGGCUAAUACCGGAUAGGAGCUCCUGCUGCAUGGUGGGGGUUGGAAAGUUUCGGCGGUUGGGGAUGGACUCGCGGCUUAUCAGCUUGUUGGUGGGGUAGUGGCUUACCAAGGCUUUGACGGGUAGCCGGCCUGAGAGGGUGACCGGCCACAUUGGGAGUGGGAUACGGCCCGGACUCCUACGGGAGGCAGCGGUGGGGAAUAUUGCACAAUGGGCGGAAGCCGGGUGCAGCAACGCCGCGUGCGGGAUGACGGCCUUCGGGUUGUAAACCGCUUUCGCCUGUGACGAAGCGUGAGUGACGGUAAUGGGUAAAGAAGCACCGGCUAACUACGUG
rnacentral:rRNA from 1 species